UGAGGAGAGCUGUGAUUAAGGCUGACUGCACACCUCGGGUUUUUGCCAGCCUGGGGCUCAGGUAGUUAUUGGGAUGUCAUCUCAAUUGGAGGCUCUCAAUGGGCGGGUUGCUUUCUGAACCAGACAGCUCAGCAGAAUGGAGGGCGGGGGGCGACUGGGAGGCAUCACUCGGCCAGAAUUCUUUUGCAUGUCGUCUGCUGCUGUCUCCGAUAAGUCCAACUGUUAAGACCCUGAGAAGUUCAUCGGGAUCCAGCCCUAUCUGGAAUCCAGCUUUUUGUCUCCUAAAGGAAUUGGCCCAUGUGACACGGAGGCUGCUGGUUGCUAAGUUGGAAACAAGGACAAACCGAUGGGAUAAGAGCUUGCCAAAAGAUGAUUAGAUUAAAAUGAGGCCAUCAGAGGGUGUCCUUAUGAGAAGAGGAAACUCAGACACACAGACAGGCAGCCAUCUGCAAACCAAGAGAAGAGGCCUCAGGAGAAACCAAGCCUGCCCACAUCUUGAUCUUGGACAUCUAGCCUCCAGAAACCCUGAGAAUAUAAGUUCUUGGAAAUCCAACAUACUGCGUAAUUGAAGAGGCAAGAGAAACCGGACCUGAGGAUCCUAUCUGAAUAAGCUGACGUUCUUCCAGGAUUGAAAGAGCAUCUAUCAUCCUAACACUGCUUCUGUUCCUUCAAAAUCUGGCUUGAAUUUUACCUCCUUGGAGUUCAGUUCUGAAUACAUAUCCUACACCUUUAGAAUGAAAUCUUCACCACGUCCAAUUUUUUUCUCUUACAUUAUCAGACAGGAUUAUAUUUGCUUGUCCUUAAUCGUUCUUUAGUUUCUACAAAUCUUUGCGUUUUUCUCCCAGUAUACAGGUAUAUUCAUCAGAGACUGGAAAUCAGUCUCUGAGACUAGCAUGGGUCUUCCUAAAGCACCUCAGACAGGACACUGUCCCCAGGGGCUCCAAGCUUCUUGUUGUCCACCUCUCUCACUCUGAAUGUUCAUACUAAUCAUCAAAAUAAACUGAUCUGCUCCA